GGGAAGUCGGAGAUGAUUGUGAUGUUGUGCUCUUGGAAAUAAUGGCGCAGUUUCCGGGAGGUGAGCAGAAUUGCAUAUAAGAGCUUUUGCAUCGGUGAAUACCGAGUUUUGGAGUCCGAGAGUACUUCGCUGACGAAGUAGACAGGUCGUUGGACCUUGUAAGGGUGGCCCGGUUCAGACCGUUCGACUACUAUUUCCGUGCUGACGACAUGA
rnacentral:lncRNA from 1 species